rnacentral:misc_RNA from 1 species
AAUAUUUUCUAUAUAGAGUAGAAUUCUUAUUUUAAUCUUAUUCCUAAAUUGAGUUAGACUCUUAAUCAGAUUAUGAUUAAGAGAAUUAACAGUAUAAAUAGGAAAAUAAUGGAAAUGUUAUUUGGCUUCACCCGUAGUGAGUGGUUUUGCCUAUGGAGAGAGGUUUUCGCCUAUUGUAGAAAGGGACUUUGGUAAUUGUUAAGGAUUUGGAUCUUCCCACUGAUGAGGGGCACUUGCUUAUUGUAGUGGAGAAAGGUUUUGGCCUAAGAUGGAAAAAGGGUAUCGAAUUCAAGAGAAAGAGAUUUUUGUCCAUUGAUGAGAGAGCUCUUGCUCAUAUAGUUAAAGACACACUUGUGGUGUAGUAGUUGUAAUAUUAAAUUUAUUGGGUUAUGUUUAGAGAAGAAUGAGAGGAUUAACUAAUAUAUUCAAUAUGAGCAGUUACAUAGUGUGGUUCUUUUCGGUGUAAUUGGGUUAAUGGGUAGUGUAACUUGAGCUUGUAAUUAAUGAUUUAUUAUUAUUAAUAGUGGAAAUGGUAUGUCCGUGGAUGUAGCUCUAUGUUGAGAAAGUGAACGGUGUAAAUAUUAGUGUUUUGUAUAUU